rnacentral:rRNA from 1 species
AUUGAACGCUGGCGGCAUGCCUUACACAUGCAAGUCGAACGGCAGCACGGGUGCUUGCACCUGGUGGCGAGUGGCGAACGGGUGAGUAAUACAUCGGAACGUACCUUAUCGUGGGGGAUAACGCAGCGAAAGCUGUGCUAAUACCGCAUACGCCCUGAGGGGGAAAGCGGGGGAUCGAAAGACCUCGCGCGAUUAGAGCGGCCGAUGCCUGAUUAGCUUGUUGGUGGGGUAAAAGCCCACCAAGGCGACGAUCAGUAGCUGGUCUGAGAGGACGAUCAGCCGCACUGGGACUGGGACACGGCCCAGACUCCUACGGGAGGCAGCAGUGGGGAAUUUUGGACAAUGGGGGCAACCCUGAUCCAGCAAUGCCGCGUGAGUGAAGAAGGCCUUCGGGUUGUAAAGCUCUUUUGUCAGGGAAGAAACACCGGCUCUAACACAGUCCGGGAAUGACGGUACCUGAAGAAUAAGCACCGGCUAACUACGUGCCAGCAGCCGCAGUAA